AGCAGUCAGAGCCUCCAGCGAGUGUGUGAUGAAUGCACCAAUCAGGAAACGUGUUUGAAAACUUCAACAGCCAAUCACAACAGUGAUAAGGGAAACCGAAUGGAGCAGACGACACCUGAAAAAGCGUGAACCAACCAGGGUUCCAUGACUCUGCUCUCAUGUACGCUUACCAAUAAACUCAUACACCAUGGUUUAUGGUUUGCUUUAUGUCUACUAGUUGUUGUUAUUAGCAUUUGAUUUAUAGGUGCUUGUGUUGUAUGUUACAGCUGAAGAAAAUGUUAUGGAUGCCCAGUCAAUUGGUUCAGCAUUCCUCAUACAAAUUUAAGAAAGAAAUUUAACUUCACCAAACAGACAGGUUAGGUUGUGUUUACUACUAGGUCAAGUAAUUAAGCUGUGUGGUAGGAAAGAAAAACACAUUGUAAAAUGUUGAGCCUGUUCUGUGAAGAUAAUAUCUCCAACUUUCCAGUCAUUCAAUACUAAGCAAUGCAAGAAUUGUGAUCUUCCUUUUUGUUUCUGACCACAUUAUAAAGUUAAUACUGGAAAUCCUGAAGGAAUAAGGCAAUUUCACCUCAGUCUCAGGUUGUCAAACUAUAGAUGGAAAUCAUGCUAACAAUUGUGUUAACCUAACAGUAGUUAAAGAAAUACCCUGCAUGAUGGGAAAGAAAAAGGAAAAAAUUUUUAGCCUGUCUCGUGAAGAUAUUAUCUGCACUAUUCAAAUCCUUCAGUAUUCAUCAAUGCAAGACUGGUGAUCCUUCUUUUUUUUUUUUUUUCCGAUUGUGUUAUAAACAUGCGCUUGGAAAUCCUAAAGGAAUUUUGAAAUUUCAUUUAAAGAUAUCAAGGAAAAUGAUUGCUGUCGUUUCGACCAGACGAGUGGAAACAUUUCCGUCGACAGGUGGGUCUCUUGUUGUCAAAUUACACAUAGAAGUCCCUUUAACAACCGUGCUUGCCAAACAAUAGUUUUAAAAAGACAUGAUGGGAAAGAAAAAGAUACUGUUAUAAACUUAUUCCGGGAAAUCCUAAAGGAAUUACGCAAUCUCACCUUAGGAACGUCAAGUAAACUGAGAUGCUGUAGUUUGGGGAGAAUGAUCGGGCAUAUAACGAAUUAGCGGCCGAUUCCAAGCAGAUGAUACAGUAUUUAAUUCAUAUCCACUGAAGUGUAUAUCUGGGCUCCCUUCUUUUCGGUGGCCCCGUUUCCCCUUGACUCACAUAAGCUCCUAGAGGGUCACGCCCCCUACUGUAUGGUAUGUAUAGAAAUAACAUGUACCGAGGUUUGUAGGGUUCUGAUCAGAAAGAGGACGUAGGGAUCGUCAUAGUUCAAUGACAUCAUUGGAGGGCUAUGUCGGUACCCUCGUUAUUUGAAUGUGUUGAAAACUGUCAAUAAUAAAUUUUCUCUAAUAAUUUGUAA